GAUCCUCCCACCCUUUGUGUACCUACCUCUGUUGCUUUGGCGGGCCGCGGUCCUCCGCGGCCGCCCCCCUCCCCGGGGGGGUGGCCAGCGCCCGCCAGAGGACCAUCAAACUCCAGUCAGUAAACGAUGCAGUCUGAAAAACAUUUAAUAAACUAAAACUUUCAACAACGGAUCUCUUGGUUCUGGCAUCGAUGAAGAACGCAGCGAAAUGCGAUAAGUAAUGUGAAUUGCAGAAUUCAGUGAAUCAUCGAAUCUUUGAACGCACAUUGCGCCCUUUGGUAUUCCGAAGGGCAUGCCUGUUCGAGCGUCAUUACAACCCUCAAGCUCUGCUUGGUAUUGGGCACCGUCCUUUGCGGGCGCGCCUCAAAGACCUCGGCGGUGGCGUCUUGCCUCAAGCGUAGUAGAACAUACAUCUCGCUUCGGAGCGCAGGGCGUCGCCCGCCGGACGAACCUUCUGAACUUUUCUCAAGGUUGACCUCGGAUCAGGUAGGGAUACCCGCUGAACUUAAGCAUAUCA
rnacentral:rRNA from 1 species